rnacentral:rRNA from 1 species
GAUGAACGCUAGCGAUAGGCUUAACACAUGCAAGUCGAGGGGCAGCACAAGGUAGCUUGCUAUCUGGGUGGCGACCGGCGCACGGGUGCGUAACGCGUAUGCAACUUGCCCUAUACAGGAGGAUAACCCGUCGAAAGACGGACUAAUACUGCGUAUGCUCACAACUUGGCAUCAAGUGGUGAGGAAAGAAAUUCGGUAUAGGAUAGGCAUGCGUCCCAUUAGCUUGUUGGUGAGGUAACGGCUCACCAGGGCAACGAUGGGUAGGGGAACUGAGAGGUUUAUCCCCCACACUGGUACUGAGACACGGACCAGACUCCUACGGGAGGCAGCAGUGAGGAAUAUUGGUCAAUGGGCGCGAGCCUGAACCAGCCAAGUCGCGUGAAGGAGGACUGUCUUAUGGAUUGUAAACUUCUUGUAUACGGGAAUAACAAGAGUCACGUGUGACUCCCUGCAUGUACCGGAUGAAUAAGCAUCGGCUAACUCCGUG